CUUGACCUCAAAUCGGGUGAGACUACCCGCUGAACUUAAGCAUAUCAAUAAGCGGAGGAAAAGAAACUAACAAGGAUUCCCCUAGUAACUGCGAGUGAAGCGGGAAAAGCUCAAAUUUAAAAUCUGGUGGUCUUUGGCCAUCCGAAUUGUAAUUUAGAGAA
rnacentral:rRNA from 1 species